rnacentral:lncRNA from 1 species
CUCUCCACCGACUGCAACCUCCGUGCUCACAGCUCACGGUUCACCAGAAUCCAGGGGCUUGGUCGGCCUAGGAAUCCACAAUGCUGGAUAUUUUCAUCCUGAUGUUCUUUGCCAUCAUAGGCCUGGUCAUUCUGUCCUACAUUAUCUAUCUGCUCUAGUGGCCUGGAGCUGCGGCCGGAGCCUGCUGGAGAACAGCUCAGAAGGAAGGAUGGAGAUGAAUGGCCGAGUGCCCUGCUUGCUGACGCACCGGUGGAUUUUUGCUUCUGCUGUUAUCUCGGGUAUUGAUUCCAAAAAAAAAAGAAAAGAAAAAAAGAAAGAGUUUGCUUUCCUAUUUUUUUUCUUAGACCACUCUGAAAAGAAUAAGAAAUGCCAGCUUCUUUCUUUGGGACCUAAUUUAAAAUAAGACUUUAAAAAUUACAAAUAAAAUCCACAAUGUAAACGAUUUUUAGGCAGAACGGGUUGGGAAUGAUGGAUGUGGUGGGGAGGGACUAUUAUUUCCUAAUUUCUUCUUCAAGUUAGGUGCUCAAACUCAAGUUGUCUAUUUUCUUCUGGUAAUUAAAGGUAAAACACAUCUUUGCAUGUCAGCAUACUUGCAAUAUAGUUGUUUACAACUAUGCUUGUAUAAUUGCAUUACUUAAUGAUUGACUCAUUCUUAUUUGAGGGUGAGACGGCAAAUAAAUUUUACUUGGGGUGGGGUUUUCGGGGAGAUGUCCAACUGUGGGAUAUGGUGGAGAGGAGGGAGGAACUCCUGGUACUUUGCAGUUGUCCCCAUCUGAGACUUUUUAUUUCUGGGUUUCUUACAGCUCCUGGUCUCUCCAGUCCAACAAGAGGCCUCUCAUCCACAGAAGCAGUCCUACUGCCCAGCAGACCUCUUUCAGAGCCUUCCAGACAUGGCUGACCCCUGGCAAGCAAGGGGCUUUUUGAGCUGAGAGGCACUUGGCUGGGACUUCAGGAAUUCAUGGACAGGGCUGGCAGAUACUGCAUAUGUUUGAGCUGUAGAUGGGAUUGAGAACAGAAAGUUGAAAUGGAGACUUAUUAAAGUUACCGUGGAGAACUGCUCAAAAAUUCAUUUUGAAUUAAGGAAACUUAAAUUCAUUUUAAGUUUCCUUAGAUCUAAAUGCAACUGCACAUUACACUCAAAUAUGUUCCUUCCUUCUCACACACAGGACUCCCUUGUGAAACUCAAGGGGAAGUUCAAGUUGUCCAUCUUCAUCUAUGAAGUAGUCACUUUAUCACUGUCUUUACAGAUUGCACAGUCUGGGGUUUUGUGGUUUCUCUUGUCUCACUCUCCAGCCAGGAAGAACUUGUCAUUUGAGUUUUUAAAAUGUAUCAUUUCUUCCCCACCUCAAACCACUUGUAUCCCAGUUUCUCAUUUAAAGGGAGAAAUGGUUAUAUAGUCCUCUCUUUGCACCUGAUUGAAUUAUAAAUGAUAGAAACAAGAUGGCUAUACUUAUUUAGGAAAAAUCUCUUACCCCAAAAUGAGUGUGUGUGUGUGUGUGUGUGUGCGUGUGUGUGUGUGUGUGUGUUUUAAUCAAAGAUCUUUUCUGGAAAAAACUUUCCACAUAGUUCUCUGACCCAUUAGAGUUGAAGAAACUAUGUAUUUUGGGAUUCAGAGUAGAAUUGGCCUGCAAAUCUGGGGUGUUUAUUCCUUUUACAAGUCUAUCAUAAUUGUUCUACAUUUAAUUUUCCUUUCUUGCUUAAAAGUAAACAAGGAGAGUCAGGAGUGGUGGCUCAUGCCUGUAAUCCCAGCACUCUGGGAGGCCGAGGCGGAUGGAUCACCUGAGGUCAGGAGUUGGAGACCAGCCUGGCCAACACGGUGAAACCCCGUCUCUACUAAAAAUACAAAAAUUAGUCAGGCACAGUAGUGCGCGCCUGUAGUCCCAGCUACCCGGGAGGCUGAGGCCGAAGAAUUGCUUGAACCCGGGAGGCAGAGGUUGUAGUGAGCCGACAUCAUGUCACUGCACUCCAGCCUGGGAGACAUAGCGAGAUUCCGUCUCAAAUAAAAUAAAAUAAAUAAAUAAAUAAACAAGGAGAAAGAUUAGUUUUUAGUAAUAACAUUGUGUCCAAUUUCCAUGUUUUAAAACAAAAAUUGAGGCAUUAUAUGUCACAACUGAAAUGGAAAAGUUGUGUUUAAAAAUUAUGGACAAGGCCGGGCACGGUGGCUCACGCCUGGAAUCCCAGCACUUUGGGAGGCUCAGGCAGGAGGAUCACUUGAGGUCGGGAGUUUGAGACCAGUCUGACCAACGUGGUGAAACCCUGUCUCUACUAAAAAUACAAAAAUUAGCUGGUGUGGUGGCAGGUGCCUGUAAUCCCAGCUACUCAGGAGGCUGAGGCAGGAGAAUCGCUUGAACCUGGGAGGCAGAGGUUGCAGUGAGCCGAGAUCACACCUCUGCACUCCAGCCUAGGUGACACAGCAAGACCCCAUCUCAAAAAAAAAUAAUAAUAAAAACAUAAAAAUUAUGGACAAGAAAAAACACUAUUCUGGAAGCUUUGUUUUGGCAACAAAUUAUAUGACCUGACCUUUCAUAAGUCAUUUAAACUUUAGGGCUAGGCCAGGUGCUAUGGCGCAUGCCUAUAAUCCCAGCAUUUAGGGAAGUAGAAGCAGGAGGAUAGCUUGAGGCCAAGAAUUCCAGACCAGCCCAGGCAAUAUAGCGAGACCCCCGUCUCCACAAAAAUAAAAAAUAAAAUAAAAAUAAAUAAAUACAUAAACUUUAGGUCCUCUGUUUAUUCUGUCAAAUGAAAGUGUUAGGCCAAGGUCGCAUUAUCUCUUUGGAAACUACAUCGAGAACAGAAUUCCCAUGGAACGAACUCUUAAUAGUUCACUGGUAGUCCCCCUUUUCUGAAUAUUCUUCCCAACAUGACACUUUAUAACAAAAAUUUAACUGCAAAACUCUUUUUUUUUCACCAACAGCCAGAUUUUGAUGAGAAAAUGGCCAUAUUUAUUUACUCCAAAUAUAUAUUAUGUCUGUGAUAAUUUGCCUAAACUGUUUAAGGAAUAUUAACAAGUAUGAUACUGCAUCGUGGUAUGUAGCAAAAAGAUAGGUAAUCUGACAUACAUGGAUGCAAGCAGCAUGGCUGUGAACCUGGAUAUAUUUAGAAAUGAUCUUCAGUGGAGUCCUUGAUGUGACAUUUUCCACUAAAACAUUCUUCUAACUCUGGUAUAUCUUAGUGUUUCGAACUAUAAUUUCCGUCUUCAAGCCAAGACAGCAGCUCUACAUCCUUACCUAGGUAAUUCAGGCAUGCGCCAGUAUUUUGGAGGGGUCCAAAUUAGAGUUAGUUAUGAUGGUAUAGAUCUUUAAAGUAUAGUCUAACCAAGCUUGCUCUGGUCUUUUGUGACAUCAAGGCUUCUCAGUCUGUAUUCACAUAAAGUUGAAACAACUAAUCAAUUCAGUGAAAAAAAAUCAGCAGAUUUCACUCAUACACUGGUGAUAUAUACCACUGGUAUUGGGUACAAUGUAAGGAGAGAGGAUUACCCAUCUCUUCAGUUACUUGUAAAAUAUGAUUUUAAAAAAAUAAAUCAAUACAUUUUGGAAAAAUUAUAUGACUUUGUGCUUAUAUUUAUGCAACAAUAUGCUAGCUUAUAACAGGGUUUUACUGUGUUAUUUUGAUAGUUGUUUAAAUUUUACAUUUAAACUAUUUGUAUUUUGGCAUCCCAAAACAUAAUAAAACACUGCAAAAAGUUACCUCUGUAAUAUAAGAUUUUGUAUAAAUUUUAUAAAUUUGUGUCAUAGGGUAAUUUUGUCCAAUAAAAUGUCAAUGAGAUAAAAACCACUCUGAAGAAUUAUAAAUUACUUAGAAAAAAAUCAAGUGACAAUGCUAAGAAUC